ensembl:snRNA U6 U6 spliceosomal RNA
GUACUUGCUUAUGCAGCACAUAUAAUAAAAUUGGAACGAAACAGAGACAAUUAGCAUGACCCCUGUGCAAGGAUGACACACAAAUUCGUGAAGCACUCCAUAUUUUC